UAAUGUCUGGGAAACUGCCCGAUGGAGGGGGAUAACUACUGGAAACGGUAGCUAAUACCGCAUAACGUCGCAAGACCAAAGAGGGGGACCUUCGGGCCUCUUGCCAUCGGAUGUGCCCAGAUGGGAUUAGCUAGUAGGUGGGGUAACGGCUCACCUAGGCGACGAUCCCUAGCUGGUCUGAGAGGAUGACCAGCCACACUGGAACUGAGACACGGUCCAGACUCCUACGGGAGGCAGCAGUGGGGAAUAUUGCACAAUGGGCGCAAGCCUGAUGCAGCCAUGCCGCGUGUAUGAAGAAGGCCUUCGGGUUGUAAAGUACUUUCAGCGAGGAGGAAGGUGUUGUGGUUAAUAACCGCAGCAAUUGACGUUACUCGCAGAAGAAGCACCGGCUAACUCCGUGCCAGCAGCCGCGGUAAUACGGAGGGUGCAAGCGUUAAUCGGAAUUACUGGGCGUAAAGCGCACGCAGGCGGUCUGUCAAGUCGGAUGUGAAAUCCCCGGGCUCAACCUGGGAACUGCAUCCGAAACUGGCAGGCUAGAGUCUUGUAGAGGGGGGUAGAAUUCCAGGUGUAGCGGUGAAAUGCGUAGAGAUCUGGAGGAAUACCGGUGGCGAAGGCGGCCCCCUGGACAAAGACUGACGCUCAGGUGCGAAAGCGUGGGGAGCAAACAGGAUUAGAUACCCUGGUAGUCCACGCCGUAAACGAUGUCGACUUGGAGGUUGUGCCCUUGAGGCGUGGCUUCCGGAGCUAACGCGUUAAGUCGACCGCCUGGGGAGUACGGCCGCAAGGUUAAAACUCAAAUGAAUUGACGGGGGCCCGCACAAGCGGUGGAGCAUGUGGUUUAAUUCGAUGCAACGCGAAGAACCUUACCUACUCUUGACAUCCAGGGAACUUAGCAGAGAUGCUUUGGUGCCUUCGGGAACUGUGAGACAGGUGCUGCAUGGCUGUCGUCAGCUCGUGUUGUGAAAUGUUGGGUUAAGUCCCGCAACGAGCGCAACCCUUAUCCUUUGUUGCCAGCGGUCCGGCCGGGAACUCAAAGGAGACUGCCAGUGAUAAACUGGAGGAAGGUGGGGAUGCCGUCAAGUCAUCAUGGCCCUUACGAGUAGGGCUACACACGUGCUACAAUGGCAUAUACAAAGAGAAGCGACCUCGCGAGAGCAAGCGGACCUCAUAAAGUAUGUCGUAGUCCGGAUUGGAGUCUGCAACUCGACUCCAUGAAGUCGGAAUCGCUAGUAAUCGUGGAUCAGAAUGCCACGGUGAAUACGUUCCCGGGCCUUGUACACACCGCCCUCACACCAUGGGAUGUGGGUUGCAAAAGAAGUAGG
rnacentral:rRNA from 1 species